AGUGAACGCUGGCGGCAUGCCUAACACAUGCAAGUCGAACGGUAACAGGCCCGCAAGGGUGCUGACGAGUGGCGGACGGGUGAGGAAUACAUCGGAAUUUGCCCAGUCGUGGGGGAUAACGUAGGGAAACUUACGCUAAUACCGCAUACGACCUAACGGUGAAAGCGGGGGACCUGCAAGGCCUCGCGCGGAUGGAUAAGCCGAUGUCGGAUUAGCUAGUUGGCGGGGUAAGAGCCCACCAAGGCGACGAUCCGUAGCUGGUCUGAGAGGAUGAUCAGCCACACUGGGACUGAGACACGGCCCAGACUCCUACGGGAGGCAGCAGUGGGGAAUAUUGGACAAUGGGGGCAACCCUGAUCCAGCAAUGCCGCGUGUGUGAA
rnacentral:rRNA from 1 species